rnacentral:rRNA from 1 species
CCCUUAGACGUUCUGGGCCGCACGCGCGCUACACUGACGAAGGCAACGAGCUUUCCUUUACCGGAAGGUACGGGUAAUCUUUUGAAACUUCGUCGUGCUGGGGAUAGAUCCUUGCAAUUUUUGAUCUUAAACGAGGAAUGCCUAGUAAGCGCAAGUCAUCAACUUGCGUUGAUUACGUCCCUGCCCUUUGUACACACCGCCCGUCGCUACUACCGAUUGAAUGGUUUAGUGAGGCCUUCGGAUCCGCGACUCGUUUGUGGAGAAGUUGGACAAACUCAGUCAUUUAGAGGAAGGAGAAGUCGUAACA